AUUCCAUGGUGAGGACAUUGCCUUUGAAGGCGUUUGAAUCUUUUCCAAGCAUCAUGUAGUGAUUCAUCGUCUUCUUGACGAAAAGUAGAUAUGUCAUUCCUUAGCUU